AUGGCUGCCGGACCCCGGGACGGCCUCGACGAGGAGUCGCUGCAGGAGCUGCGUAGCCGGGCGACGCGGCUGCUGCUCAAGGAGGACUGGGAGGGGUACGCCGCCGUCUGCUCCCGCAUCGUGCACGGCGCCGCCGCGACGGACCGCCGGGUGCUCUGCUCCGCGCUCGCCCACCGCGCCGACGCCCGCGCGCGCCUCGGCGACCGCCCCGGCGCGCUCGCCGACUGCGACGCCGCGCUCGCCGCCGACCCGACCCACCCGGCCGCGCUGCUCGCCAAGGGCGCGCUCCUCCGCGGCCUCGGCCGCUACGCGCACGCCGCCGACUGCUUCCGCGCCGCGCUCCCUGCGGGCGCCUCCGGCGCCGACGAGGUGCGGGAGAUGCUCGAGCAGUGCAGGCGCCUCGAGGCGCAGGCCAGGAGCGGGGCGGUGGACCUGUCGGAGUGGGUCCUCGCGGGGUUCUCCGGGAAGUGCCCGGACCUCGCGGAGUACGUCGGCCCGGUGGAGGUGCGCCGGUCCGCGCACGGCGGCCGAGGGGUCUUUGCGGUGAAGGGCGUUGAGGCGGGGGCAACGCUGAUGAUCUCCAAGGCGGGGGCGACGGGGAGGGGGGUGAUCCCGGAUGCGGCAGACAGCGACGAGAAGAUGGUGGUCUGGAAAGACUUCGUAGACAAGGUGCUCGACGCCGCGGAAAAGUGCCCGAGGACGGCGUCGUUGAUCUAUGCUCUGUCCACCGGCGAGGAGCAGGAAGACGAGCUCGCCGUGCCGGACAUGGCAGUUUUCAAGCCAGAAUCAGAGGAUCUCAGAGACGGCGUACCGGAGGCUGGCAUUGGCACACGAGAGGCUCUCGAUGUGGACAGGGUCAUGAAGGUGCUCGACGUCAAUUGCUUGACGGAAGACGCGCCGUCCGCCAAUCUGCUCGGCAACAGUGGCAUCGUCAACUGCGGCGUGGGGCUGUGGAUCUUGCCGUCGUUCCUAAACCACUCCUGCCACCCCAACGCCCGGCGCACCCACGUCGGGGACCACGCCGUUGUUCACGCCUCGAGGGACAUCAAGGCCGGGGAGGAGGUCACGUUCCCCUACUUCGACGUGCUCACGCCGGUGGGGAAGCGCCGGGAGGCAGCAAGGGCGUGGGGGUUCGAGUGCCGGUGUGACCGGUGCCGGUUCGAAGCCGAGGACGCCGUUCUCAGGCAGGAGCUCGUGAGAUCAGAAAACGAGUUGUUCAAUGGAGGAGCAGACAUGGGAGCACUGGUGGUGCGGCUUGAGGACAAGAUGAGGAAGUCCAUGGUGAAGGAGAGGCGAAAGGCAUUCGUGCGUGCAUCUUUCUGGAGCGCGUAUUCUUCAUUGUUCGACAAUGGCAGGUUGAUGAGGAAAUGGGGGAGGAUGGUUCCCGGAGAGGCCGUCGUCGCAGAGAGCGUCGCCGGCGCAGUCGGCGGGAGUGAGAGUGUGCUGAGGGCAAUGCUGAGGGGCUCCAACGAUGGCAAUGGCUGCGGCAAUCGACUGGAGGUUGAGGACAAGGUGGUGAGGAUUGGGAGGGCUACCUAUGGCAAGGUAGUGAAGAGGCAGGCAAUGAGGGCUCUCUUCAGACUUACACUGGACGGUGACAACAGCAAAAGCCUCUAG
rnacentral:rRNA from 1 species